rnacentral:rRNA from 1 species
UACGAAGGGGGCUAGCGUUGCUCGGAAUCACUGGGCGUAAAGCGCACGUAGGCGGCUUUCUAAGUCGGGGGUGAAAUCCUGGAGCUCAACUCCAGAACUGCCUUCGAUACUGGAGAGCUCGAGUCCGGGAGAGGUGAGUGGAACUGCGAGUGUAGAGGUGAAAUUCGUAGAAUAUUCGCAAGAACACCAGUGGCGAAGGCGGCUCACUGGCCCGAUACUGACGCUGAGGCACGAAAGCGUGGGGAGC